GAACGUUCUUGAUCUUCUGCUGAAGCUGCAAAGACUCAUCAAAGGAGCAUCAUCAUCCUCAUCAUUCCAAACAUGGAUCCCACUCUGGGUCUAGCUCACAUGAGGAAACCACCUCUGCAACAACUACCACCACUGGAGGUGCAACGUCUACUACUGCUGCAUCUGCAACUACUGCUGCUGCAUCUGCAACUACUGCUGCUGCAUCUGCAACUACUACUGUUGCAUCUGCAACAACCACACCAUCACCAACUACCACUUCUCCUUCAGCAACUUCUUAACGGAGCAAAAAAAUGACAUGGAGUGAGAGAUCAAGGAGUGAUAGAAAAUAAACAUUUAAUGAGUUUAUGACAUCUCACCUGAUCUGUAUGGUUCAAUAUUCAUGAAGAAAUAUUCAAAUAAAUGUUUUUCUUGCAAACAUGUUUCCCUGAAUUAAUGGAGUCUUUAAAAACUAACAAUAUUGUUGAUACACUGAAUAAAAAUGUCUCACUUUUUCAGAUAUCUGCAGGUCCGAGCUUCGUCAUAAAAUGUCUUAUCAAGCUAAACCUUCCUUCCCC